AGUUUCAUGAGUGAUCGUGUCGACAGGGUCGUAGCGAAGAGGAUAAAGAGGGGGGGGGAUGAUCCCUCACUUUUGCAGAUUGUAUACGUUCUUUGCAACUAUAGUAUUGCAAUGAUAAGAUGAUUUUAGUAAUCUGUACUUAUUACUAUGAUCCUACCAUUAGAUCAUGUAUGUGGCUCCAACAUGAAAUAGCGGAAAUUUUUGUUUCGGUAUAUUGGAAUUUCUUAUUUCAAGUUAAAUCCUGUUUCCAAUAAAUUGAAGAAUUGAUAAAAGCAACAUUAAAUACUGGAACUUUCCAUGUUUAUCAUUUUGUACCCUCCACCCCUUGUCACCACCGCAUGCUUAGUCACCCUGUCCCCUUUUGAGAGACCUCUUGUUAGCGUUUCAGUUCUACACCACACCACUGUAUAACUAAGUGAUGAAAAAAUUAAAUUUUACAUCCGUCAAUAUACUAGACUAUAAAGGAAGAAAUAGUCAUGUUCAGGCAUUGUUAAUGUUCUGUUAUAAUUAGUGUAAGGGAAUAAUGCUUUGCUCAGGCACUCAGGCAAGUUUGGGUGAACGGACGGUAGACAAAGCACUGCUGAGAUAUGCUGACUUUCCAACUGUGUAUCAUGCAAGUUCUCUACGAUGGAUUGUCUACACGUUCAAUCAGCCAACUCUUCAACAUGGAACAUCUUAAUUUUGCGGUCAAAAACCAAGUUAUGAAUUUUUUGCGCUGAUCAACGCCAUUCCUUUCUCCUCUGCAGAGGAUUCUAUGUAGUGUGCUUUCUGAAUUCUGGACUAGCGUUUCGCAAUUUUUCUUCUUCUUUCCCGCCUAUUACCCUCUUUUUGCCUUUUUUCACGCUACCUCAUUACCAUCUAGCACCUUUUCACACAUCUUGCGCCUUUCCGACUGCCCAUCUAGAAGGUCCAGAGUGACAAAGAACACACUACAUCGAAAGCCUCUGUGGAGGAGAAAGAGACCAUUCACUGUUUGAAACAGCUAUGAUGAUGAGGAAGACAAAUGGGGCAAUUUCGUCCGCUACUCAGCAGAGCCCAACAAGAAUGAAAGUAGUGAAGAAUGUCAAUAAAGAACUUCGAAAGGCAGUUUUUCGUUUGCUGCGACCGCCAAAAUCGAUGUAACUUCUAGCAGUGGGCUGAUAGACUGGAGCUAUAUCAAUAACGAAAUGCGCGAACAUGGAUUGAAUUAUUGCGCAUGCAAAGCUAAAAGGAAGCAGACAAUUAAGACCGCCUUUUUU